UAUAAACCCAGGUAGCAGAGCUGCUGCCUAGGAAAGGCUGUAGUCACUCCCUGAGUGGAGGGAGUUGGAGGCUAGCAAAACCAGAGAGAGGGCAAGCCAGACAUGUAAGAAGGCGACCAGGGAAACAGCAGGAAGAGUACAGCCUAAGAACCAACCGAGAAUGGGGUGCCACUGUGCUAAACAGAGUAGCAGACAGUCCCUACUGUGAAUUCUGUACAGAAUAAACAGACCACACAGACACGCGGUAGGAGACAGGGACACAACACACUGGAACAAUAAGGCUGAAGUUUUAAUUAGAGCUGCUUGAAUAGUGAAUUAGUUCAGGCAGCUGCUAAGAAAUCAAUCCCUGGAGUCUAUUGCCAGCAUUAUAUCCCUGGGUGGUCAUCAAAGGCAAUUAAGCUCUGCCAGGAAUUCAGAGCUGCUGGUAACAAACAGGAGGCUGUUAAUAAGAGCAAGGAACUCAUUCAACUGCUGGAUCAAACAAGGUGUGAUCGAUAGAGGGAGACAGUCACAAAGGUGGACUUUGCCAGGCUUUCCGGCUGGAAUGAGUAGACCAUUAAAAGUCUUUCUGGAUAUUCCAGGCUCAUCAAAAAGGGGUUUCCUGUCUCCACAAAUAUUGUCAUUUCCCAGCCAAUGGCUAUUGCCCAUAGACAGAACCUGGAUAAGUCUUUCAGCCCUGCAGUCAAAACUGAGAUUACAGAUGGCAGGCUCCUAAUGUGGAUUCAAACUUGAUGGGUCUUUUUUUCAGACAAAGAGCUGGACUGGACCAUAACGUUUAUGAAAACAGGAAAGGCUCCAUACCUGGAUUAUAUCCAUAUGAAGUUCCUACUAUACCUAGGGCUAAAAGGUGAUUGCUUUGGUUCCUCAACCAGUGUUUCCAGAACAACCGCAUCCCAAAAAUCUGGCUCAAUGCAAAGGCUGUAGCCAUUCUGAAACCAGGAAAAGCCUGGAAGAUCCCAAGAGCUAGUGAUUCAUCUCUCUACUUUGUGUCAAAUACAAGUUUAUGAAGAGACCGAUUCUGAUGUGCAUCAGUGAGGUUAUCAAGCUACAACUGCUCUUUGUUCAGACUGGCUUCAGAUGAGCAUGCUGUACCCAAGAUUACAUUAUUCACUCAACACAAGACAUUGAAGAUGCCUUUGAGAAGAGCAAGAAAGUUGGUGCUGUUCUGGUGGAUCUAUCAGCUACAUGUGAUGCUGUUUGGCAGGUGGGGCUGACUGCCAAGUUGUGUCACACUGUUCUCUAAACCCAUGGUGCAGCUCAUCAUGGAAAUAACAAAUUUGAGUUCCUUUUUGCAAGAUGGAGACAAACUUAACUCCCUUAGACAUCUCUGUAGUGGACUCCUGCAAGGAUCCAUUUCAAUGUAUAUACUUACUGGCUUUAAUUGUUGGUAGGUUGUAAGUAUGUACAUGUGGAUGGGCUCUGUCUCGCUGAUGUGGCUAACGUUCUACCCAAUGCUGAAGAGACAGUCAGGACAUGAAUGCUCUGGCCAAAGCUUCAUCAAUGGAGAUUUACUUUGAGAGUCUGAUAAUGCCCACAAACUUCCAUCUAAACUAUCGCCUGGCCUAUCAGCCCCUUACAGUUUGUUGAGGAUCAUCCACUCCCUUCCCAGACAGUUGUCACUCAUUUAGACUGUGGUCCAGUUUGACUCCUAAUAUACUGGUAACAUCUAGAACACUUAAAGGAAACUCUCACCUCCUGCACUGCCGUGGGAUAAAAGCUAACAGGAUCCUCCUGGGGAACAGAAGCAAAUGUUCUCUGAACCUCAUUCCCAGCACGGGUGUUCGCGCCAACAGAAUAUUGUGCAGCAGUUUGGGACACUGCCUCCCCCUCUGCUGGACAUGGGUUUAGUAGGAGCGCUGUGGGGAAGACCGAGCUCCUUCACGUUACCAUUCAGCAGCAGCCAUCACCAGCUACAAACCCCAGGCCCCUGCUGCAAAGCCCUUUAGACACCGCUCCUUUUGAAUGGUGGUGAUGACAAUAUAAGGGUCACUUGCCAGCUGUGCAGAUAUUUAUGGCUGGCUUUGACUGUGACCCCUAAAGGGCAGAGGCCUCUGGCAUGCUGAGCCACAUGGCGCGCAGCCCUCAUGACUUAAAGUAGCAGCAGCCUCUCUCAGGACAACAAAUA